GUUAAUCAUAUUCGAGGCAGCGCCACUAACUCAAGAUUAUUCAAAGUUUUGUGCGAUGAAGUUGGUGCUACAUUUAAUGCUCUUUUGUACCAUACAGAGGAUAAAAUCGCAAGUUUUUUGCGCAAAUUGGAACUUUACCAACGCAGAGUUCAAGCUGGUGAUGUGUCAAUGUUUACACAGCUAAGUGAGCAAUUAGCAAAUAAUAAUACAUACAAUAAAUAUAAACAAGAGAAAAUCACGUUUGAAAAUUCCGUGGUUCAACAUUUAACUGCCGUGAUAGACUCACUGCAGCAAUAUUUUCCGAACAUGGACAGUCGUGAGUCCUACUCCUGGAUUUUAAGACCAUUUUCUACUUGCGUCGAUAUUUUCAAGGACGAAGAUGUGUCAGCGAAAGUAGAGUUUCUCGGGCUGCGUGAGAAUAACUCAUUGAAAGUUGAUUUUCAAAAUGAUAAACUAAGCACAUUUUGGCGAAAAGCAGCUGCAGAAUAUCCCAUUAUAGCUGACAGAGCUUUAAAAAUGUUGAUUCCAUUUGCUACAACUUACAGAUGUGAAACUGGUUUCUCAACUCUUGUUACAUUAAAAACAAAAGCCAGAAACCGUCUGAAUGUUGAGCAUGACAUGAGAUGCGCGUUGAGUGAAACCGAACCUAAUAUUGUCAAACUUGCGAAUGCAAAGCAAUUUCAACCUUCACACUAGUUAACUCCAAGAUUUACAUAUUACUUUACUUGACUAGUUACCUAAACGUGCAAUUUCUUAGAAUUUAGUUAGAUAAUAAACAUAUUUUCGUUCGAA